rnacentral:rRNA from 1 species
AGAGCGAACGCUGGCGGCAGGCCUAACACAUGCAAGUCGAACGAACUCUUCGGAGUUAGUGGCGGACGGGUGAGUAACACGUGGGAACGUGCCUUUAGGUUCGGAAUAACUCAGGGAAACUUGUGCUAAUACCGAAUGUGCCCUUCGGGGGAAAGAUUUAUCGCCUUUAGAGCGGCCCGCGUCUGAUUAGCUUGUUGGUGGGGUAAUGGACCCGACCAACGGCUACGAAUCGAGUACGCUGGUCUGGAGAGGAUGACCAGCCGACAGUUGGGACCUGGACGACACGGCCCAAACGUCCGUACGGGAGGCAGCGAGUGGGGAAUCUUAGCGGCAAAUCGGGACGAAA